UUGUACCUCGUUGUGGUACCAGAGCAUAUAACUUCAUCUGCACAGCUUCAGUGCAUCACUUAAUGGGAGACACUUUGUUGUUGCAGAUACUCAUAACCUUGAACAGUUUCCAUUACUCUUAUUUUAUGGAGCCUGCACUGAUUUCAUCUCUCUGUAGCAGAGACAGAUUAAAGUUCCUGUUGGUUCUAUUUUGAUCUCACUGACACAAGGUUCGGUUGAUUUGCUGCAAAACCUGCAAAGGGAAAUGGAAAAAGAGAGAGCUUCAACCAUUCAAGCAUAAAUAGGAAAUGUGUGAAAUGAGCCGCACUGGUGCCAUGCCCAGAGCUGUCGGCCCGGAUCAGAACUGUGUUUCACCAAACAAAGUGCAGUUAUAGAAUGAAGAACACACAGACAGCUGACAAACCAGGGGUGAGACAGGAGACAGCAGAUGGAUCCCCAGGCAAGGAGAGCACACAAAGCGGUGAGACAGCCCUGGCCGGGGGGAGAGGCAGUUGUCCCAUACCAGGAUAACAACUGUGUCAGGUUUUACUGUCUGCAAUGCUGAGCAUCACACGUGUUUUUCUAAUUCUCUUCUUUUUCCUCUUCUUGGGAACAAAUGCAUUUAAGCCAAAGGUAUUGUCGUUGACUGAAUCAUGUAGAAACGAGCUGUGUUUUUAGGUGAAUAUGCCGGAAAAUGCCCAAUGAAGAUCAAUUUCAACUGGUUUUGAAAAUUCCAUCUGGAGUUGUGUACUGUCCCACCUCAGCACGACUGAUAAGUAUCUCUGGAAGCCCCUGUGUGCUUGGCAGUGUGAUUGGGGUGGUGCUGGUGGGAUGGCACUGUGGCAGUGGGAUGUGCUAAUUGUUCGCCCACUGCCAUCUCCAUUUACCACUCACAGUGAACUGUGAGAGGUGGAGAAAGCGCAAAGUAUUUGCUUUUCUUUCCCUCAAACUUACCCAAAACAACGUAUCCUGCCAAAUAAACAUAAGGGGACCUCUGUAAAUCUGGCACCCGUGCAUAGAUCGUAUUACAAGGGACUAUUUAUAAUCCCCAGGAACAAACUAAAGGCUGUGUGGGGGUUGGGGGUUUCGCUUUGUUUUUAAUCAGGCUCUCAUUUUUUUCCUUUGAAAUGGGAAAAUAAAAUGCAUCUUCUAGAAAUUUAUCUAUUUCUUACUUUUGGAUUCAGUCUUGUAUUUCAGAUCCCUGCAAAUAGUUUUCCGGAGUUUGAAAUGCUUUUAUGAUUGAAAAUGCACAUUUCUCAUGGGCACUCACAGAACUGAAACAGCAUGAUUUGCAAGCUCGCUAAAUGGAUUUCUUCCAAGCAAGUCAUUGGGAGGGAUGAAUGGAGAGAGUGAAUGGAACCAAGCCAAAGCAUAGCAGUGGCUGCGGGCUUUGGCUAUGGAUGGGACCAGCUGGUGACCUCUUUGGUAGGGCAUGGCCAGGAUGCUUCUGCAAGGAGACGUGGCUGGGAACCCAAAAUCCCUCUCCUGCCCGUGCCCCAGCCCCUUCCUGCAAACACUUCUUACCAAGCAGCCAGAAUUGUCUGGAAAGCGCUCCUUGUGAGAGACGAACUGGAUCUGUUACUUAGCCAGACCUAAAGCCAGAAGCAGAAGGAAACAGGCGAGCGCUUUCCAAGCCACAUGCUCUGCGUGCAGAUCAAAGCAAAACCUCCCCCCUCCUUCACAGGGGGUUGAUUUGACGUGGUUCUCCAGCUGUGAGCUGCUGUCGAGAGGUGCUCAGGACCAGAGCGGGGCUGUGUUUGGUGCUCUGACUGAUGGGCAACACGGCUGCAAAACCCCAGCCCCGCCGUGACCCAGCGCGUGGGUUUUGGAUAGGGCAGAAGCUCAGAGCAGGUGGUGGGCAUCCUCUGUGCCUUGCUCCAUCCUGGGGACUGCAUGCUGUCUGCAUGCUGCUGCCAGAUCCCUGCCACGGGCACCAAUAUGCUGGACCAGAAUACCAACGAGUAUACUCCAGUUGCCCUGUUGCAUUCAGCCUGCCCCACUGGGCAACAUCUCUGCAAACCAUCCGUAGCCCAGUCAGUCCCUUAUCCCUCGGGCUUUCACUGAACCCUUUUGUCCGAACCCUUUCCCAAGGCUAUAUGAGCUCUUCGCAUUCUGCUGCUCCUUUUUCCCCAGGAGAGUUUCCUUGAGGACCAUCCACCCCCAAAGACAAUGUCAUCCCCAAACCUGCUCAACCAACUGCCCUACAAACCACCAUCACUGUGGGACAGAGAGCUG
ensembl:lncRNA